CAGAAAGGGUUUUCCCAGAGCGUUCUUUCUCUGACACGAGGGCUCAUUAAAUAACUUACCGCAGAACUUAGUGUUUCACUUGGUGUUUUAUACCAUUUGGCUGAAGCCAAAUGCUUCAGCACACACUCCAUAGCUCCCCGCAAAAGCCGGGUUUCCAAUAGAGUUCAUAUAAAUGGGUUGGGGGAAGCCAACCUGCGAAAUGAAGCGGUGGACUAGCCGGAAGAGACGCCCGGCCGAUGGUGUUGCUCUAGCAUGCACAAUGGGCUCUAUUUUAAUAACAAGAACUUCUGCUUUCUGCUUCCGGAAAGGCCCCGCGGGGAGCAAUCGACGAAGUGAAACUGCUUCUAACCCUUCUCUGGGGCCCUAGCUUCAAGGUGUGAACUGAUCCUGUUGACUAGGUGCGACUCUGGAUCCUAGCAUUGCAGCUUUGAGAUGCUGAGAUGUUGACAUCCAGUUCUGAGGAGAAAGAGACUGAAUCCACCACUACGUGGGGCUCAGCGUGGCUCCUCACCACAAGAUGAAUGGAUUUGGGAUUAUUAGGAGGAGCACUCUUAACAUGAAGAUUAACACAGUCUGGAAGGCACUUCAUUCGGCAAUAUCAAUGGUGCAAGGCUCCUUCCUGGACCUUGACAGGCCCCAGGCUAGCCCCCUGAGAUAGCUGAAGUGGAGUAGACUGUGGUAGCACCAGACCAUGAGUGUGGCUGACGGUGUGGAGUGUGAGCAUGUGCAAGGCCCCUUGGGGUCUCAUACAAGUAUUCAUGGGGACCGAGAAUGAGGCUCCUUGAUGUUGAUGAGCCUUCUCUGUAGCCACAGGCAGUGAGGACUGACAGCAUUCAGGUUAUACACCAAAUCAUGCCAAUUGCUCUUGUGCAACAAUAUCCUUCCAUCCAAGAACAAGGUCCAGCAGGACAGUAGUUAGUUUCCAAGCUCAUGGGAGGCUGAAUAGCAGAAAAGAUAUGAAAGCCAGCUCUAUAAUCAGACUGCCUGGGUUUCUCACUAUAAUCAGACUAACCAUGAAACCUUAACCUUUUGAUACCUUGGGUAUCAAAAUACCCAAGAGAAUAAUAAUAAAAUGUAAUUCAUAGGUCUAUGAGAAUUAACAAGUAAAACUCAUGACAGCCUUAGAACAGUGACAGACAUGUAUAAACCCCAAGAAAGGUCAGCAGUUUGUAUUAUUACACAA
ensembl:lncRNA